GCUAAACCUUUUCUUUUCUUUCCCUCAUUAGUUGCAGUGCACAGUUAUGCCCACUAGGGGUGUACUUAGAAAAGAUUGCUGUGUCACACUAGGAACCAAGUUUGGAGAGGACAGUUCCUGAGGGGGAGGGUUUGUGGUGUGGACACUAUUUGCUGGAAAUAAAGGAAGCGGUGUA